CUAUGUGAUGUUUGAUUGAUGUGACGCUUGACUGAAUCCCACAGGAAAUGAAUGUGAGUCUGCAGUCAUGCACUUAAAAUGAGAACCUCUGAAAAUGUAAUUUCAGAACCCAUUUCCUCCAAUUUGAGCCAUUAUUGAAUGGACUGCUGGCCCCAUGCGCUCGCAUUGUCUCAUAUGGUCAGGUUGGGCAGGAUAAUGUGUUUGUGUGUGUGUGUGUGUGUGUGUGUGUGUGUGUGUGUGUGUGUGUGUGUGUGUAUGUGUGCUCAGUGUAUGUGUGUGUGCGUGCUCAGUAUGUGUGUACUGCAGUGUGUGUGCCCAUAAUCGAAUGCUGUGCUUUCAUAAUUUCCCCCUAGUUUUUACAUGUGGCUUGUUUGUUUUAAUUUUAAACAUUUCAAUGCUAGUGUGCGCCUGUUGCUUAUAUGAGAGAGUCUAUGUGUGUGUGAAUGUGUGCUCCCUCCAGAGAUGGGAGGAGGAAGAGGGGGAGGAUGAAAAGAGGAUAAAGAUCAGUCUCCUCGAUAGGAGGUUUGCUACUAUUCCCGCGAGUAGUUCGGGCUCUUGUUUGCAGCUCCCUCAUUAGGAAUUCUGUGCAACCCAGAGACCCUCGGAGGGUUAACCCGGUCACACGGCAACACAACACCCUGACUUACCCAGCCUCACCUAUAGCCUCACCCUUCUCUACUCUCCUUGUCUCUCCUCUAAAGGCUCCCUCCUCUCCUCUUCUUCUGAUAUUGUAAUUCAUUGAUGUCUGGCUCACCCUCACACUCUCCCAUCUUGUAUUCAGUCGCCGCCUCUCCUCCACUAUAAUUUUAUGAACCACAUCUUCUCCAAGUCUGAUGAUGGUAACUCUUGGUUCACACUGCCUACCUGAGCAGUGUGUGACGACUACAGCGCUGAACAGCUGCGUCUGGCCUGCGUGCGAUGUUUACACCGACAGCCUGUCAGCUGUGUGGCUGCUGCUGCUGCCAACCCUGUCUGGUUGCUCAGACCAUUGCUCUUGUGGAAAGGUUUUGCUCCAACAAGAGGUUAAGUGAAAGUGAAAGAUGCAGCACCUUCAUUCUGAGCUCUCGGCUUUCCGUCCCCUCAAAGGUCAGCGCCACAGAUUCUCAGCUCAAAGUUCAUCCAAGUUGAAGGCCAUCCCUGAUGUGCUGACCGGCAGUUCAGGCUCAGCCCUAGUGGAGGAGGGAGGAGAAAAGACCUUUGAAGUGAAACAGAUCCCCGUCAGCUUCAGUGCUUUAACAAAGUAGCAGCUCAAAGCUCUGCGAUGGAAAGCGACGGCAGGUUGAGUGCGUGACCCAGUGCAGGCUGCAGCAGACCAUAAUUCUAACCAGAGAGACCCUGCCUGUGACAGCCACCAUCCGUCUAACAGCUGUGCCGUGUGUCUGCAAGAGACAGAAAACUGAUGUAUGCGCAGUAACUUCCUGGAGUCCUGUCGUCACCGGGAGGUUGCCAGGCAACCGGCGGAGGAAGAUUGAUGUGAUCGAAAGCUCCAGAAUGGACUUUGUGCUAAGAUUGUCUACUGAAUGAACUUUCAGUCUUUUCUAUUCUGUGAACAAAAGGAACAGUCUCCACCAGCCAGGGACAGAGAUCCAUAUAAUUCAUGGAUAAGUAGGGCGAGCACUCACAAAUGUUCAUCUUUCUUUUCUUUAAUUAACUUAGUAGCAACACUAACAAUAUUCUAAUUUACUUGGUUGCCUUCUGCCUUUUACAGUCCUUAGCAGCGUGUGUGAGGCAGUUUCUUCCGCACAAUAAAUGUCUCUCCCAUUAAAUUAUAUCCUGACCUGUGGCAGAUUUCCCCUGGACAUUAAAAAAAAUUUAUUUGGCUCUCACUGUACAGUAGCUGCUGAAAAAGUCUGGUUCCAGUUCAUUGAUCCCUGUCUAAGACUGUUAUGUUGGAGACAAUACUAAAUGCAAUAUUCUCUCUUCCUCUAUUCUACUGUAUGAAAGCUGGCUACAUGCCGGCCUGUUCCAUGUUGAAACACUGAAACUAAUACACUGUUUUUUCUCCAUCCAUCAACAUACCUUAUUCAUAAUGUUAAUCAUCCAAUGAAUAUUUCAUAUUUACAUGGGUAAUUAUCAAUUUGCUUAAUUGCAUACAACAUCAAGCCUAAUCUUUGCUUCAUACUGUUGUUGUGUGGUCUUGUCUCAUCAUACAAAACACAAUAUCUACUCAUCCACGGACAAAGAGCUGACUGAGUGGACUCACCAUCAUGCAUUAUGGAGACACUAAUUAUAUACCCUGAAUAAUUCACAUAUAUUCCAAUUAACCAUCAUUCGUGUGCCUAAUAGACGGGGCUGAGAAACAGAAAGGGCACAAGUACUGGUGUGCGUUUGUGUACUUAUUCUGUGUUUAUGUGUCACUACAGUGUCUGUACUCUAACUGCGCAUUCAGCGUAUAACCCCAGUGUGUGUGUGUCCAAAAUGCUUUCAUACUGU